rnacentral:rRNA from 1 species
AUGAUAGGUUCCUUUUGGAAUAUUCGUGGUCUAGGACAACCAGGUAAAAUUCAGUGCCUAGGGGAUUUUAUUAAUAGCAAUCAUAUUGAUUUUGUUGGUUUCUUUGAAACCAAGAGGGGAAAAAUUGAUGAUAUUACCAUUAGGAGAAUUUCUGGUAGAAAUGAUUUUUCUUGGCAACAACUCCCUGCUAUUAAUACUGCUGGUGGGAUCCUUGUGGGGAUUAAUAAUGAUCUGUUUGAGAUAAUUGGCUUUAUUAAUAAAACAUACUGUGUUGUGACUACUGUUAAGAACAAAAAAGAUGGUUUUGUUUGGCACUUUGUUGCUGUGUAUGGUACUGCUUACAAUGAUCUGAAAAUGAAAUUUAUUGCUGAACUACAUGAUGUAAUGGCAAAUCUCACAUAUCCUGUGAUUUUGGGUGGAGACUUUAAUUUGGUGAGAUCUGCUACAGAUAAGAGCAAUGGCAUCAUUAAUAAUCAACUUGCCUUCCUUUUCAAUGAUUGGAUUAAUAGGUGGGGUCUUAUGGAAAUUAGCAUUGCUAAUCGAAGUUUUACUUGGAGUAAUAAUCAGGAUGAUCCUAUUUUUGCUGCUAUUGAUAGAGUCUUUGUGUCCCCCUCUUGGGAUGCUCGGUUUCCUUUAUCCGUUUUAACUGCUUUACCCAGAAUUGGUAGUGAUCAUACCCCCCUGAUUUUAGACACACGAGCUAGGAGGGUUACCUCCCCCAAAAAAAUUCGGUUUGAAAAAUGGUGGCUUGACUACCCAGAAUUUAAAACUAUGUUUAUAAAGGUGUGGAAUACCCCGGUGGUGGGGAGGACUGCUAUUGAUGUUUGGUUAAAAAAAGCUAAAUUGUUUCGGAAAAAGGCUAAAGGCUGGAGUAUUAAUAUUGAAGCUGCUCUUAAGAAAAAGAAGAAAGACCUUAUGCAAGAAUUUGAUAUCCUAGAUGUUUUUGCCGAGUCAAAUCGUGUAUCGGAUGCGGAUAGGCUUCGGAUGAGGGAGAUUAAAAAAGAGCUCGAUGAUAUCUUGCGUAAGGAGGAGGUUGCCUUGUGGCAACGUUCGAGGGAUCGUAGAAUUAAAGAUGGAGACAAAAACAAUGCCUAUUUUCAUGCGCUUGCCAAUCACAGGCAUAGAAAAAAUCAUUUGACUGAGCUAAAUGGGGAUUCGGGCCCUGUUUUUACUACUAAUGAAAUGCUAGAUGUAGCUACUACUUUUUAUAAAAAUCUGUUUUGGUAUGAAGCAAAACAUGAUAUUCAUCUUGGCCCUUCCUUCUGGGAGGAAGAUGAGCUGGUUACUAUAGAAGAAAAUGAAAUGCUACAAAGAAAAUUUUCUGAAGAGGAGAUUAAGGAAGCCAUUUUUGGCUCUUAUGCACAUGGUGCGCCUGGCCCUGAUGGCUUGUCUUUCCUCUUUUAUCAAACCUUCUGGGAGGUAAUUAAAAAAGACUUUAUGGCCAUGGUUAGAGAUUUUGAGGAGGGUAAAUUAGAUAUUCAUAGACUUAAUUUUGCUCUGAUUGUGUUGAUCCCAAAGGAGGUGAAUGCUAAAGACAUGAAGAACUUCAGACCCAUCAGUCUUAGUAAUUGUGCUAUUAAGAUUUUUACAAAAGCUAUGACUAAUAGAUUUUCCCCUAUCAGUCAUAGAAUGAUUUCUCCCAAUCAAACUGCUUUUAUCAAGGGCAGAUAUAUUCUUGAAAGUGUGGUCCUGGCACAUGAGGUUAUUCAUGAAGUUAAGAAAUCUGGUUCGCAAGGGCUUGUGCUCAAACUAGAUUAUGAAAAAGCAUAUGAUAGAGUAAGUUGGGACUUUCUUUUUGAAAUGCUUAGUUCUAGAGGUUUUGGGCAAAAAUGGAUUUCUUGGAUUAAAACAACUCUUUUGCAGAGUACAUUUAGUGUGAGGAUCAAUGACACUACUGGGCCUUACUUUAUGGGGGGGAAAGGUCUCAAACAAGGAGAUCCCUUCUCCCCCUUGCUUUUUAACUUAGUUGCUGAUGUUUUCUCCAAAAUGCUAAUCAAGGCUUCAAAGCAUGGCCUGAUCUCUGGUCUUCUGACCAACAUUAUCCCUGGGGGAGUGAUCAGCUUGCAAUAUGCUGAUGAUACACUUCUUUUUCUUGAGAAUUCAUAUGACAAAGCCAGGAAUUUUAAGUGGAUUUUAUCCUGUUUUGAAAACCUAUCUGGUAUGAAAAUCAAUUUCCACAAGAGUGAUUUACUCACCAUAAAUGUGGAGGAGGAGGAGUCUAAAACCUUUGCUCAAAUUUUCUGUUGUAAGUUGGGGUCUUUCCCUAUCAAAUACUUGGGAGUGCCUCUGCACUAUGACAAAUUGAGGAGAGAAGAUCUACAACCAAUUAUUGAUAGAAUUAUCAAGAAUAUUUCUGGUUGGCUGGGUAGAUACUUGACCUACAGGGGGAAGUUGAUCUUAUUGUGUGCAUGUAUUGUUAGUAUUCCUGCCUACCUUAUGGCCAUGAUUAAAUUCCCUAAAUGGGCAAUUAAUGCCAUUAAUUCUCAGAUGGCUCAUUUUUUCUGGGGUAAUAUAGAUGAUCAACAUAAACACCACCUGGCCAACUGGGGUCUGGUUACUAGAAAAAAGGAAUUUGGGGGACUCGGUAUCCCCAACUUGAAAGAAUUCAACAUGGCCCUUUUGGCCUCAUGGGGAAAACGUUUCUUUGAAUCUAAUGACAGUGAUUGGAAAAAGAUUGUGGCUUUUAAAUAUAACACUCACUCGUCGAAUAUUCUGUGGGCCAAGCAAAAAAUUGGGUCCCCUUCUGGAAAAGUGUGA